rnacentral:misc_RNA from 1 species
GAUGAAGAACGCAGCGAAAUGCGAUAAGUAAUGCGAAUUGCAGAAUUCCAGUGAGUCAUCGAAUCUUUGAACGCACAUUGCGCCCUUUGGUAUUCCGAAGGGCAUGCCUGUUGGAGCGUCAUUAUCACCCCUCAAGCCCUCGGCUUGGUGUUGGACGGUUUGGUGGAGGCCCCCUCGGGGGCUCCUGCCCCUCCCAAAGACAAUGACGGCGGCCUCGUUGGACCCCCGGUACACUGAGUUCUUCACGGGACACGUAUCGGACACAUGGGUUUACGGGACACGGUCUGCCUCCCCUCAGGGAGAAUCUUUCUAAGGUUGACCUCGGAUCAGGUAGGGAUACCCGCUGAACUUAAGCAUAUCAAUAAGCGGAGGA